rnacentral:ncRNA from 2 species
GCAACAUGCUCGCGUCGUGGUUCCCUGGGGCGUUCGCGCUCUGGGGCUAAGAUGGGAAUCCGGUGCGGUCCUUUGGACCUAUGCCGGAGCUGCCCCCGCAACUGUAAGCGGCGAGCCGACGUCCAAUACGUGUCACUGACCCGCCGAGCUUCAUCGGUGGCGGGUCGGGAAGGCCAGGACGACAGGCGCUGACCCGUGAGCCAGGAGACCUGCCCCGACAGAUAACGUCCU